CUUUGGUGAAACCGUACUGUUGUUCAUGAAAGAUGGAGUUUUUAUUAAAGUGACAUAACAUUUGAUUGAGCAUUAACUUUUCAAACACCUUACUGAGAGCUGGCAGAAUUGACACAGGUCUAUAAUUAUUGGGUUCUUUACUAUCACCGGAUUUGAACAACGGAACUACUUUACUGUGUUUCAUGAGAUCCGGAAAGACUCCUUGGUCUAUGCUGGUGUUAAAUAUGAAAGCUAAAUAAGGCGCAAUAGUUUCGAUGAUAGAACUACAGACUUUUACAGACAAUCCCCAAAGAUCUUCUGUAGAUUUAAUUUUAAGAUCUUUAAAAGCUUUUAUAACAGCCUGGUGGUUUGUAUAUUGAAAUCGAAACUCCGUAGGGCAUGCCCUUACAUUCUUCGUAAGUAACGCAAAAGAAAGUGCGGAUGAUGAACUUAAAGCUUCGGUAGUUUUAAAGGGAAUAUUGAUAAAAAAGUUUUCAAAUUCCUGAGCUAUUUCUGCAUUUGAGUUUAUUGGGCCAUGUGCAGUCUCUAAGUUAAAUUCAGUAUUACGCUGUUUUUUUCUACCAGUUUCAUUAUUUAUUAUUUGCCAGGUAGUUUUUAUUUUGUCAUCCGCUGAUUUCAAUUCAAUUUUGCACACACUUUUAAAAGUUUUUGAAUAUUUCGCAACAUGCUGAUGAAAGUUUGUAUUUUUUACAUGUUGCCUUAGGCCAUACAGUUCAAAAAGUUUAUCCCUGCUCUUACGAAUACCUGGAGUCGCCCAAUCACUAAAUAAGAACUUGGUGUAAAUACUUUUUGUCUUUUGUGGAACAAUGUCAUUAAAUUGCGAUUUUAACAAGGUAAAAAACUCCGCAUAGAACUCAUUAGGGUCCCAAAUAUUAUUAAAGUUUUGAACACACAAUUUACUGGUCAAGAUAUUAUUUAAUUUCUCUAAAUUUUUACAUGUAAUUGGCCUAUACCUUAUUUGAAUUUUUUGUACAGGUAUGUAGGCACAAAACGUUAUUGUUUGUCCACUGUGAUCAGAAGGCAAUUUAUUAACAAUUUCUUUAUGUAAGUAAUCACAAUUACAAAAAAUAUUAUCUAUACAAGUGGCAGAAGAAGCUGUCACUCUAGUUGGUUCCAUAAAAACAUUAGACAGAUUAAAUGAUUUAAAAAGACUUAUUAAUCUGAUACUAUUUGAGUUUGUUUCUAAUAAGUUAAUAUUAAAAUCACCACUUAUGAUGAUUGAUUUACUACUAGUACUAAGUUUUUUUAACACAUCUUCCAUUACAGAAUCAAAUACAGAUAGAUUCUGAUAGCCCGGAGGUCUGUAAACACAUACUACAACAUGCUUAUCGAGCUCGACACAGGACAAUUCUAUAGAAUGUUCAACUGACAAUCUGAUAAUGUCUUUCCUUUCUUUAGAUUUAACAGAAUUUUUGAUUAAUAUUAAUGAUCCACCAUGUAUCAUACACUUCCGGCUGAAAUAGCUAACUACACAAUAAUUUUCAUAAUUAAUAGACAUUAUCUGAUGAUCAUUUAACCAAUGUUCAGUUAAACAAAUAAUAUCGAACUUGGUUUUUUCUAAAAACAUUUCUAUUUCCAGUAAUUUGGAAGAGCAACCUUGAAUAUUCUGAUGAAAUAAUCUUAAAGUAUGUUGCUUUCCUUUUGGUUUAUUAAAACAUGUUAAAUUGC